GCUCCCUUUUAACAGCAGGCUCAGCCUCGGGUUCAAUGCCGCUUAGCACACCUAAAACCUGAAGCAUGAGUGUAUAAAGAUGCAGUGAAGUAUCGCUGCAGUGGUCCCACCUCCUGCUGCUUAGGGGAUCAUAGAUGCUCCUGGAACACUUUUUAGUUUUAGGGGGAAAAAAUGAAUCUAUGGAUAACCACGUGUUGGCUAGCUCACUGGCUACAGCCUCCAUAGGCUGGUAUAUUAGUCACUUGUGCACUUGGCCACAUCUGCCCUGCCGUGUAUGAGCAGCCUGCUUGUGAAUGACACCACCAAUGCAAGCAUUCACCUUUCUGAGCUUUGUGGGUAUCGAGCCCGGAGAGCCGUGUGAGGUGCCCCGUCCUGUGCAGUCUGAUCGCUGCAGCAGGGGUACUGAAACCACAUAUUUGUGAAUGGGUACCAUCAAAGCACAACACAAACUGUAAGGUCUUACUCCAGCUUCUGUAUUUCUAGCAGAUCUUAAUGCCCAGUCUCAAUAGACGGACUUUCACAAUCUCAUUUUAAUAGCUUAGUGUUUCAUAUCUUAAACCAGUUUCCCCCUUUUCCUCAGCUGAGCCAUCCAGUGGGCCAGCCACACCCUGAUGGGUGUCCAACAAAAGUGAGUGACAUGUCAGUGUAGACGGAGCAGUGUCCAUUUUUAAUGAUUUCAUUUCUUAGCUGCUGGCAUAACGUUUGAUGACUGGGAUGAUGGUUUCUGGUGGAAAUGAAUAAAUAUUUAAACUUUUUCAGGAAGUUCUAUGAAAGUUUUAAGAAAAAUCAAAUAAGUGUCUUAGAACGUUUUCACCUUUUGCCGGGAUGUUUUCAGGGAAAUGAUUUGGAAACAACCAUCCCCCCGUAGACAGAUGUGCUCACGUGUGCAAAGUAACCAAAGUCUGUUUGUGUGAGGAGCGUAAAUGCAUCGCUACACGACUGGAGCCAACGUUCGAGCAAAUGAUUUGUUUCUGUGGGUCAGAGUGCUGCCGUUCCUCCUUUCCUCUGAAGGUUUGGCUGCUUCGACGUGGCUGCUGAGGUCUCUUGGAGAUGGACGAGCCCAUGUUUUCACCGCGUGGUUCCAGCUGCAGACUGCUGUAUUUGUGAUGAGACGACUUUGUUAUGGAUGUACUUGGAGAUAAAUCUGUCACUGAAUGAAACUUUAUUUCCUUCUGCAAAGAUCACAUUUGUUGAACAAAUGGAAAUGUACAUAAGAGUGUUAUUUAUGUUUGCUUGGCCAGCUCUUUUUCUUUCCCCCUCCACCCUCCUGCCGUCGCACUGAGCUGUAGACAGUGUCCAGUUUGUGUCUGUGGUUGAAGGUUAUCACAGGACUCGAAGGAAAAAUUGUCCCUUGAGAGCUCAGUUUGCAAUGUUUGCUCUACUUAAAGGUGCAAUAGAUGUCAACUUCUUUCUUUUUCUCUUUGUUUCUUGGGCUGUGAAUGUGCCCUCAAACGGCCGGUAGCGUAAUCUCUUAGCAGAAAUGUUUCAUGUCGGGGUUACUUUCAGCACAAUUUUUCUAAUCCAGGAACGAGGAUUUGACGCCCAGGGAAACUGGACUAUCUCUGAAACUGGGCAAGCACGGAUUCUGUAGAACAUCGGGCUAGCAUCUGAAGCCCCGCCCCCCAGGAAGAUUAGUUCACGGUGUCAGGCAGUGCGAUCGACUACUGAGCUGUCUUUCAGUGUGUGUAGCUUCUUUUUUUAUUUAAGUUCAUAUCUGUCUGAUGUGAACCAGAUGUGUUAAUUUAAUAAACUUUUUUGUAAGGUGUUCGUUGGAAGAAAGUCACAUUGCACUGACAUGAAAACGUGUACAUAAACAAAACGUGUUUUGUAAAUAAGCCAAUGAAAACUAUGUAUUUGAAUAUGAACUGUACAAAAUACUGUACCUGUAGUUGUGUAUAUGGAGUGAUCCUGUUGAUCUGUAACGAAAUACCCAAGCAAC
ensembl:lncRNA